rnacentral:rRNA from 9 species
UCGCCGCCCGUGACUCGGCGAAAAGUCCAUUGAACCUUAUCAUUUAGAGGAAGGAGAAGUCGUAACAAGGUUUCCGUAGGUGAACCUGCGGAAGGAUCAUUG